UGAGGAAUAUUGGACAAUGGAGGAAACUCUGAUCCAGCCAUGCCGCGUGAGUGAUGAAGGCCUUCGGGUUGUAAAGCUCUUUCGGGUGUGAAAAUGAUGAUGGUAACACCAGAAGAAGCCCCGGCUAACUCCGUGCCAGCAGCCGCGGUAAUACGGAGGGGGCGAGCGUUGUUCGGAAUCACUGGGCGUAAAGCGUGCGUAGGCGGUUAUACAAGUCAGGAGUGAAAUCCCAGGGCUCAACCUUGGAAUUGCUUUUGAGACUGUAUGACUAGAGAUCUAGAGAGGUUGGGGGAAUUCCGAGUGUAGAGGUGAAAUUCGCAGAUAUUCGGAGGAACACCAGUGGCGUAGGCGCCCAACUGGCUAGAUACUGACGCUGAGGCACGAAAGCGUGGGGAGCAAA
rnacentral:rRNA from 1 species